CACCAGGCCGUGCAAGCCCAUAGGCCGCAAGGGACCAAGGAGGCAACCAGAAAGGUGUCUCUUCUGUUUUCAAAUUUUAUUUAUUUACGAGACACAGAGAGAGACGCAGAGACCCAGGCAGAGGGAGAGGCAGGCUCCCUGCAGGGACCAGAUGCGGUACUCGAUCCCGGAACCCCGGGGUCACACCCUGGGUCCAAGGCAGGCGCUCACCCCUUGACCCCCCAGGCACCCCCAGAAAGGUAUUGGUCAAUGGGGUCCGGCUUCCUGCGGGUGACUGUGAGCACUGCGGGGCCACUCACUGGCUCCCAUGUAGGUCUCCCCUGGGCCGCUCCUCUCCUCCAUCAGGGUCGCCUUGGGCUUCUCAUCGAGGAUGGGAGCCCCCCAGCCCCACUCCUUAUGGGGGAGCCCGGCUGCUGAUGCACACACAGCAGGCAAGGCUCUGCACAGCACCCCGGGCUCAGCCUCACAGAUCCUCCCCCGCCUGCCUCAGCCUCCUUUCCUGCGCCUUCACCCUCACCUCUCGUCCCACCCCCACGUGCACGCAGACCCAUCCAAGGAGCAGAGCCUGGCCUUCCAACAUCUUAGAACAUCUUCAUGCACAUUGUGGCUUUGAUCCCAAGAAAAUGUGGAGAUUUGCUGACGAUUUCAAGCAGGAGAAUAAAUCAAUAUUCUGACAAAAAAAUGUGGCUGCUUUCAAGACAACUUAAAUUACGUAUUUCUGUUGGACAGCCUGGCCCACAUGCAACCCCAGAGCACCUUCCUGAGGAUUCGGUUGCCCAGCCAACCCCUUGUAAUCGGAGAUCUCGGGGACUGAGCUUUCUGCACAAAUGGUAUUUUCCUGGAAGGAGGUUGACUGCAAGGGACAGUCGAGCAGGAUUACUGUCGUCACUUGGGCGUGGGACUGGUGGUGGCAGUGGAGGCGCAGUUUGGAAACGGGGCUUCUGGCCCUGGUUGCCCUUCUUUGGGAAUGGGAACCGUAGUCUCUAGAUCAGUAACACAGGGACCAAGGUCAAUAAAACUAAGCUCACUGAAGACUCGAACGCUCUG
rnacentral:lncRNA from 12 species